UCAGGCCUAACACAUGCAAGUCGAGGGGUAGAAGGAGCUUGCUCCUUUGAGACCGGCGCACGGGUGCGUAACGCGUAUGCAAUCUACCUUUUACAGAGGGAUAGCCCAGAGAAAUUUGGAUUAAUACCUCAUAGUAUAUAACCUUCGCAUGUUGGUUAUAUUAAAGUUCCAACGGUAAAAGAUGAGCAUGCGUCCUAUUAGCUAGUUGGUGUGGUAACGGCACACCAAGGCAACGAUAGGUAGGGGUCCUGAGAGGGAGAUCCCCCACACUGGUACUGAGACACGGACCAGACUCCUACGGGAGGCAGCAGUGAGGAAUAUUGGACAAUGGGCGCAAGCCUGAUCCAGCCAUGCCGCGUGCAGGAAGACGGUCCUAUGGAUUGUAAAGUGCUUUGUACGGGAAGAAACA
rnacentral:rRNA from 1 species